GAUGAAGAACGCAGCGAAAUGCGAUAAGUAAUGUGAAUUGCAGAAUUCAGUGAAUCAUCGAAUCUUUGAACGCACCUUGCACCCUUUGGCAUUCUGAAGGGUAUGCUCGUUUGAGUGUCAUUGUACUCUCACACUCCCGAUCUUUGCAUUGGGAGCAGUGGACUUGGGUUUGCUGCUUCACCGUCGCUUACCUCAAAUAGGUUAGUGCAACUCUUGGUUUGACAUAGUACGGCGUGAUAAGUGUUCUUCGCCGGUGCCUCGCAAAGAGGGUGGCCGAUCGGGAUGUUGUGCUCCAAACCGUCUUCGGACAAUCUCUGACGACUUGACCUCAAAUCGAGUAAGACUACCCGCUGAACUUAAGCAUAUCAAUAAGCGGAGGA
rnacentral:misc_RNA from 1 species